AUCCAGAUGACGAAUCCCAAAUACGACGAAACGCGCGUCCUGGAU
rfam:Schistosoma curassoni strain Dakar, Senegal genome assembly, scaffold: SCTD_scaffold0006767